GAUCCAUGUUAUGACCAUUCUUUGAGCAUACUCUUCUACCUCUCCAAUGCCUCAUAGUAGCAUUUCAAAUUUUAUUGAGAAAAUGUGGCGUUCUCAUCUCUAAGUUU
rnacentral:snoRNA from 1 species